rnacentral:rRNA from 1 species
UUGGGAGCUCUCCCAUAUGGUCGACCUGCAGGCGGCCGCGAAUUCACUAGUGAUUAGAGUUUGAUCAUGGCUCAGAACGAACGCUGGCGGCAUGCCUAACACAUGCAAGUCGAACGAAGGCUUCGGCCUUAGUGGCGCACGGGUGCGUAACGCGUGGGAAUCUGCCCCUUGGUUCGGAAUAACAGUUAGAAAUGACUGCUAAUACCGGAUGACGACGUAAGUCCAAAGAUUUAUCGCCGAGGGAUGAGCCCGCGUAGGAUUAGCUAGUUGGUGUGGUAAAGGCGCACCAAGGCGACGAUCCUUAGCUGGUCUGAGAGGAUGAUCAGCCACACUGGGACUGAGACACGGCCCAGACUCCUACGGGAGGCAGCAGUGGGGAAUAUUGGACAAUGGGCGAAAGCCUGAUCCAGCAAUGCCGCGUGAGUGAUGAAGGCCUUAGGGUUGUAAAGCUCUUUUACCCGGGAUGAUAAUGACAGUACCGGGAGAAUAAGCUCCGGCUAACUCCGUGCCAGCAGCCGCGGUAAAUCGAAUUCCCGCGGCCGCC